UACGGAGGGUGCGAGCGUUGUUCGGAAUCACUGGGCGUAAAGCGCGUGUAGGCGGCCCUUUAAGUCCGAUGUGAAAGCCCGGGGCUCACCCCCGGAAGUGCAUUGGAUACUGAAGGGCUGGAGUACCGGAGAGGAGGGUGGAAUUCCUGGUGUAGCGGUGAAAUGCGUAGAUAUCAGGAGGAACACCUGUGGCGAAGGCGGCCCUCUGGACGGAUACUGACGCUGAGACGCGAAAGCGUGGGGAGCGAACAGG
rnacentral:rRNA from 1 species